CCGAACGUCCUGUGGGCGGGGCGCGGCGGCAGCGCGGCGGGAUUGGCUGGAGCGGGCGGCUGCGCAGUCCGCUGGGCAGAGGCUCGGGCAGCCGAGCUGGACCCGGACCGGGUUUGGUGUUCUGAGUCAUGAAGCCCUGCAGAGGGAGAGGCGUGCACUACUGAAUUCUGUGGUCUGCUGGGCCCAGCACAACUUCCAGGGCUCUGCAGGCCAUCAAAUGAAGUACUGGUUCUUAGGAGAGAGAUGGAGUCAAGCCAACUGUAAAGAAGCUUUUCUACCAGUUCUUUAAGGUCCUGGAAGCAGAGGAAGCAGUGUGAGAACAGACAUCAGCCUGGCCUGGGAUGGUGGGGGUAAAAUCCUGCUUGGAGUGGGAGGUGACCAGUGCGGCCCGUGGGCAGCCGUCAGAAAUGCGCCAGGAGAGCUGCUCCUCACAGGCUGUUGCCACCUGCUCUGGAACUCAGGAAGUGGGAGAUGAUGAGUCAGAGUCCAUUCUCUCAAGGCAAGACUCCUCCCAGGUCAGGCUCUCUGGCGCCUUGCUGAAUCCCAAGCCUCCCCAAGCCAAGCCUCCUCUGGUUGCCAUGCCAACCCCCCAGGAGACACACUCAGCCUAGGAGCCCCAGGGUGGGGCGGGCAGUGCCCUGGGAAGGAAUGGACAGGUGGAGGUGUGAGAAUGCAGGGGUCAGUGAGGUUGGAAGAGCAAGCAGGCAAGUGAGAUUACCCGGGGCCCAGAGGCAAAACAGGACACUGGUGUGGCCCCAGUCCCUAGCAGCUGUUGCCACUGGAAGCCCAUCAGCCCACUGAGACCUAGAACAGCAAGCCACUGAGGGAGGAGUUUGCUGUCAUUAAUGUCACCCCCAUCCCAGCUUAGCAGUGGUCCUCUGUGGCCAGGGACACAAAGAGGAGAAGAGGAGCCCUGCUCCAUCACCAUUAGAGCUGGCCUCGGUGACUAGAGAGCGACAGGAAGACAGAAGCGAGUAAUCCAUGGUGGAGCCUCUACAAACACAUUAGGUGACAACUUUUUAAGAUCAGCCUGUUGACAGGAGUUGGCCCAGUCCCAGGGAUGUGGCCAUCCCAAGCUACACACCUAGUAAUAGAUGUUGUUAGGGACUUUAUUCAUCUUGAUAAAGAAGCAAAUCUUUAAAAAUACUUCUUAAAUUGAGAGGCAUCUAAAAACCCAGCUUAAAUGACAGGAGAGGCAGCAGACAGUAAAAUCUUAAUCAGUGACCUAAGAGUGGCCUCUCUGUGAGAGGCCAGUUGGUAGAAAGGACCCAGGUGUCUAGAGAAACUUGAGCCAGGAUUCUCUGUGGCUACCAAAGGUCUCCUGUGAACCCUGAGUUCUACUCAGACUCCGUCUCCCCCGUUAGGUGCCUUCCCAAGCAGCACCAAAGCAUGUGACGUCCCUGGCUCCCCGGCUCUGCUGCACUGCCACCCCUGCCUCGUGCUCAUAUAACCCUGUCCAGAUCCAACCCCACUGAAUCCUCAGCUACAGCUCUGACUCUUGCAAAGGAUUAACACUUGGGGCCACAAGACUUGGCCAGCCCAGUGAAUGGGGAGCCCAGGGCUGCUCCAGACUGGAUCAGGACCAGGACGCUGGUACUAUGACCACCAUCAGUCCAAAGCUCCUCUGUACAACAUUACCAAAUCCACAAGAUAAAGUAUUUCUUGUGUCUUUUCCACC